UUGCAGUUAAAAAGCUCGUAGUUGGAUUUCGGAACCGGCCGAUUGGUCCGUCCUCUGGAUCGUGUACUGAUCGGUCUGUUCUUCUUCGCGAAGACCGCGUGUGCUCUUAACUGAGUGGGCGUGGGAUUCGCGACGUUUACUUUGAAAAAAUUAGAGUGUUCAAAGCAGGCAGUCGCUUGAAUAUCUCAGCAUGGAAUAAUAGAAUAGGACUUUGGUCUUAUUUUGUUGGUUUCCGAGACCGAAGUAAUGAUUAAUAGGGACAGUUGGGGGCAUUCGUAUUUCAUUGUCAGAGGUGAAAUUCUUGGAUUUAUGAAAGACGAACUUCUGCGAAAGCAUUUGCCAAGGAUGUUUUCAUUAAUCAAGAACGAAAGUUGGAGGCUCGAAGACGAUCAGAUACCGUCCUAGUUCCAACCAUAAACGAUGCCGUCUGCGGAUCGGAGGUCGCUCAUGUAAGGCUCCUUCGGCACGCUAUGAGAAAUCAAAGACUUCGGGUUCCGGGGGGAGUAUGUUCGCAAGAAUGAAACUUAAAGGAAUUGACGGAAGGGCACCACCAGGAGUGGAACCUGCGGUUUAAUUUGACUCAACACGGGAAAAACUCACCA
rnacentral:rRNA from 1 species